CACCAGUGGAACCAAAGUGUAUCACUUUACAAUAAUAUAAUGUGUCAUCUAUGCACAUGAGCUUGUUAAAUGUCAUAACUGCCUUUGUCGUUGAUUGUGUUAUAUUCACCAGUGUUACUCUUCCUUUUAAAUAUUGUCCAUCAUCGGUUAAAUACGGAAAAGAGUUUGGGAUAUAAAGUGCUAUUUCGUUAAACUUAUGGCUACUUUUGUUCAAAGC
rnacentral:lncRNA from 1 species